rnacentral:rRNA from 1 species
UACAGGGGGGGCAAGCGUUGUUCGGAAUUACUGGGCGUAAAGGGCGCGUAGGCGGCCUUCUAAGUCAGACGUGAAAUCCCUCGGCUCAACCGGGGAACUGCGUCUGAGACUGGAAGGCUUGAAUCCGGGAGAGGGAUGUGGAAUUCCAGGUGUAGCGGUGAAAUGCGUAGAUAUCUGGAGGAACACCGGUGGCGAAGGCGGCAUCCUGGACCGGCAUUGACGCUGAGGCGCGAAAGCCAGGGGAGCAAACGGG